AAAAAACAGAGUGAGAGUGAAUGAGUGUGGAAAGACGUCGCCAGAAGAGAGCGACGGAGGGGGAGUGGAGGCAGAGAAAGGGGAGAGACUUACUGCCAGUGCAAAAGACUAAGGAGAGAGAGCAUAGUAGAGGAGGUACACAGACUCUCUCAGAAGACGAGAGCAGCACAAAGAAGCAGACAGUGAACACAGACUUUUAAAGAGAGAAACUGCUGGAAACUGCCAUACUGACAACUGACAACCCAGUGAACUAAAGAUACAGAACCUUUAAAAGGACAAAAUAAAAUCUUUCAGUCUGGAAAACUGGAAUAAGCUAAUUAGAUGAGGUGGAACAGCGUAGAGGAGACCACACAAAGUAUAGGAAUAAGAAGAGGGGGAUGGUGAAAGAGAGAGUUUUUAAUGGACAUUUGAGAAACUUUGAGAGAAGUGGAUAAACUCUGUACUGAAGUUGGAGAGAAUGACACAUUGCCAAACUAAUUCACCUCCAAAGGUGCAGUGCCAUAAGUUCAAAACAUUACCCCAAAGCUAUUUGGAUCCAUCCCCAGUCUCCCUCUGUGUGUGACUUGACCAGGGGAAUCCAAGAUGGAGGUGAGGGAGGAGGUGUUGGACAUCCUAAAUAAGGUGUGGACUAAACUACAGAACCUCCCGCAGGCCAACUCGCUGGAGCUGGGGGCCUUCUUCAUAAUCAUCCUCUUCGUCGCCACUUUCCUGUUUAUGAUUGUUCUAUCCUGCGUUCACUGCUGUUGCUGUGGAAAGCCUAAAUACCAGGGUUCCCGGGUCCAGCCCUUACAGGCUGUCUGAGGAGGAGCGGACAGUGGCCCAGUUGCAAUACUUAUAAAAUGCACCCUUCCCUCCCUUCAAGGAAGGGAGGAAAGAGCGAUUCAAGGGAGGAAGCAAGGAAGGAGGGAUGCUCUCUAAAGUAUUGGUAUUGCCUGAACAAUGUAGUUUGGAGGGGACAGACAGACUGCUAUACAACCAUCCUGAAGAAUCCAUGUGUGUAUAAAGGCUGAUGAGCAAUGGCAGAAGUCAUUAAGACUACUCAGCAGUAGUUGUAAACAGGACAAUGAUGCACUAG